rnacentral:tRNA from 1 species
UCACAGAUGGCUCAGCAGUAAAGAACCUGCCUGCAAUGCAGGGGACCCAGGUUCAAUUCCUAGGUUGGGAA